GUGCUUCUAGCUCAAUGGAUAGAGCAGCUGGCUUCGAACCAGAAGGUUACGAGUUCGACUCUUGUGAGGCACG
rnacentral:tRNA from 1 species